rnacentral:tRNA from 1 species
CUUUCGUGGUUGGGGCCGCGUGAUCACCGAUUUCGAGACCGGCGAAUGGGGUUUUGACACGGUCAAACCCGGUUCGACACCGGGUCGAAACG